GGAAGUCUAAGAAAUGGAAAGAAGAGGAGUCGUGCUCGGUCAUCACGAGUCACUGUGAGUGAGCAAGAUAACCAUGGUAGUGAUGGGGGCUCUGAUAGUGUUACAACCGGACAGCGCAGGAGGAGACGACAAAAAGUUAUUCCUGAUGUGCAAACCCGAGGCGAGACUCGUUAUAAUCUCCGGCGACCCAAAGUUGGAGUGGCUGUUAAAAAGGAUUCAUCUCGCUCGAAAAAGGAAAUUGAGAAGGUUGACGAUGUUAGAGUUGCAGAGGAUAGAAUAGUUUAUUCCAAAGCUGCUCCUUCCUCUUCAGUUGGAGUUGCUAGUGAGAAUGGGGGAAGUGCCUACUUAGUGAAGUGUGGGACAACGGUGGAUGCGACACCAGAAAAGAAGGUUCAGAAUGUUGCGGUGAGUGAAGAAGUGAAUGGAACACGUGAAGGGGAUGCGGAGUAUGGUGAUGGAAAUGAAUACAGUCAGGGGGAUAUUGCUGUGGCUGUUGAGGUUGAAGAUGAGGGUGAGAGCGAGGAUGAUGAUAAUGACCAAGAAGAUUCUGAGCAUCCCGGUGAAGUGUCAAUAGGAAAGAAGCUGUGGACUUUUUUCACAACAUAACGUGGAACGGUAAUCCUCAUUCAGCGGAAAUUUUAGCAUGGCCUUGGGUAGGAAUCAAUCAACCUUUUCAAGUUGGGUUUUAGGAGGUUUUGUCUUUCGGGUUAGUAGUCAUCAGUGUUAACCAUUUUUUUUUUUAAAAUGUAGUUAUAGAGUCGUGAAGUCUGAAUUCAGAUUUAUGUAUUUGGGGUACUACGAUUUCCAAUCUCAGUUUAGGAGUUAAAUAAUGUUUGGGUUUGUUUUGAUUUGUCAGUAAAAGUGGUAGAUGAUUCGAAAGUGUCAAUGCCCAGUGAACAUUUUAAACACUGGAAUUGCUUCCAUAUCCUCAUUGUUUGUACCAAAUGCUAGUAUUUCUUUCUUUUUGCUGCAAUGAUUGUUGGAAAGUAUGUGUUCGCAA